AUAUUUAAGAUGCAGGGUUAGUGGGAGGUCCUUAGGUCACUGGGGACGCACCCUUUAAGAAAUUAAGGGACCCAACAUGUUCUUGCUUUCUGUCUUCUAUGAUUCAAGAUGUGACCAUUAUUACACAUACUCCUGCCAUUAUGCACUGCCCAUACCAGAGGUCAAACCGAUGGGGCUUCCCAACCUUAACACUUGAAUUUCCUAAACUAUGGGGUCUCACUAUGUUGCCCAGGCUGACCUCGGAAUCCCAGGCUCAAGAUCCUCUCACCUCAGCCUUCCAUUACCAUGCCCUGCUCAAAAACACUUUUCUUUCCUCAUUACUCUAAAGUCCACAAAACAUGCUGAAAUUUUGAUUGGGAUUAUACUGAGUCAAUGAAUUAAAAAGAUGUUUUAAAGAAA